rnacentral:sRNA from 1 species
UUUGCGCUAGGGAUUGAAGUGGCAUCCUUUUUUUGUUUUUUUCAUAACAAAAAAAGAUAUAGCGUAAAGCCCGCUCGAGC